UUGUUUCCUCCCCUUCACUUUCCCUUCUCUGUCAUUCUUUUCCUUUCCCUCCUUGAAAAAGAGUGGGUUUUAUCUUUCUGAUAUCCUAUACGUGCCCGGAGGGCAAUAACCACACUUCAGAUUACAGAGUCCACGGACAGCUCCAGAGCAUAUCUCUACACCCAGAAAAUGCAAACCUGCAACGUAGUUUCACCUUCUUCUCUAUACCCUAUUGCAUUUUCUGAUUGCCAUGGUCAAGUUUCGAAUCAAUUACAUUUUCCUUGCAGUCUAAACUCUGGUUUUGCAAGAGGAAGCAGAAACCUUAAGAUUUCUCAAUUGAAGGCUGGAUUUUGGGAAUCUAUCAGAUCUGGAUUUGUGAAGAACAAUACUACACAGGUUAUUGAUCCACCCUCUACUCUUGAAGAAGAGGAAGAACCAUUACCUGAGGAGUUUGUUCUAAUCGAAAAGACCCAACCAGAUGGAACAGUUGAGCAAAUUAUAUUUUCGUCAGGUGGAGAUGUUGAUGUGUAUGAUCUCCAAGCCUUAUGCGAUAAGGUGGGAUGGCCAAGGAGACCACUGUCAAAACUAGCCGCUGCUUUAAAAAACAGCUACAUGGUAGCCACUUUGCAUUCCGUAAGGCAGUCACCAGGAGCAGUGUACUUGAAGAAGUUGCUUGGCAGAAGGGAAUUACCAAAAGAAACUUAUAGGCAUGGCUCGUGCUACAUCAGAUCACGCCUUCAAUGCUACUAUCUGGGAUGUCCUUGUAGAUCCUCAAUAUCAGGGCCAAGGUCUUGGAAAGGCUCUUGUUGAGAAGAUUAUAAGGGCUCUUCUGCAGAGGGACAUUGGCAAUAUUACACUCUUCGCGGAUAGUCAAGUUGUGGAUUUCUAUCAGAAUCUAGGUUUCAAGCCUGACCCAGAAGGCAUUAAAGGUAUGUUUUGGUACCCAAGGUAUUAGUGGUAACUCCAAUGUGAACUAGUUUUGCUAAUGCUAGUGGCUACCCUGGUUCAUGCUGCAAAAUUAAUUGAUGGUGGGGCAUUGAUGGGAGAUCUGUAUGUAUAUUAAUGAUAAUCAUGUAUAAAGUUUCUGACAUACAUAUAAUAUUGAAGCUUGAAAUGAGUGCUGGAGCCAUUUUGUAUUUUAACAGGGAUCAUGUUUUCUAGCAUCUGAAACAUUCGAAUUUUUGUUGAUAACUUUCAUUUACAUGGCAUCUGGUGCUAAUUUAGGGUUCUUGGAUCAGUACUCCUGUACUUAGUUACCUUGGACCAUGUAAUAAUUAUAUUGUUUCAAUGUAAUUUUUCAUUUACAAA